rnacentral:rRNA from 1 species
AAUGAACGCUGGCGGCGCGCCUAAUACAUGCAAGUCGAGCGAGAAGACGUAGCAAUACGUUUGUAAAGCGGCGAACGGGUGAGGAAUACAUGGGUAACCUACCCUCGAGUGGGGAAUAACUAGCCGAAAGGUUAGCUAAUACCGCGUACGCUUCUUGGACUUCGGUUCAGGGAGGAAAGCGAUGCCGAGGGUAUCGCGCUCUUGGAUGGGCUCAUGUCCUAUCAGCUUGNGGUGAGGUAACGGCUCACCAAGGCUUCGACGGGUAGCUGGUCUGAGAGGACGAUCAGCCACACUGGCACUGCGACACGGGGCCAGACUCCUACGGGAGGCAGCAGUAAGGAAUAUUGCGCAAUGGGCGAAAGCCUGACGCAGCGACGCCGCGUGGGGGAUGAAGGUCUUCGGAUUGUAAACCCCUUUCGGGA